rnacentral:rRNA from 1 species
CAGUAGCCGCGGUAAGACAGAGGAUGCAAGCGUUAUACGGAAUGAUUGGGCGUAAAGCGUCUGUAGGUGGCUUUUCAAGUCCGCCGUCAAAUCCCAGGGCUCAACCUUGGACAGGCGGUGGAAACUACCAAGCUGGAGUAAGGUAGGGGCAGAGGGAAUUUCUGGUGGAGCGGUGAAAUGCGUUGAGAUCGAAAAGAACACCAACGGCGAAAGCACUUUGCUGGGCCGACACUGACGCUGAGGUACGAAAGCAUGGGGAGCAAACAGGAUUAGAUACCCCCGUAGUCCCUGUCUCUUAUAC